CCUACGGGGGGCAGCAGUGGGGAAUAUUGCACAAUGGGCGCAAGCCUGAUGCAGCCAUGCCGCGUGUGUGAAGAAGGCCUUCGGGUUGUAAAGCACUUUCAGCGGGGAGGAAGGCGGUGAGGUUAAUAACCUCAUCGAUUGACGUUACCCGCAGAAGAAGCACCGGCUAACUCCGUGCCAGCAGCCGCGGUAAUACGGAGGGUGCAAGCGUUAAUCGGAAUUACUGGGCGUAAAGCGCACGCAGGCGGUCUGUCAAGUCGGAUGUGAAAUCCCCGGGCUCAACCUGGGAACUGCAUUCGAAACUGGCAGGCUAGAGUCUUGUAGAGGGGGGUAGAAUUCCAGGUGUAGCGGUGAAAUGCGUAGAGAUCUGGAGGAAUACCGGUGGCGAAGGCGGCCCCCUGGACAAAGACUGACGCUCAGGUGUGAAAGCGUGGGGAGCAAACAGGAUUAGAUACCCCUGUAGUC
rnacentral:rRNA from 1 species